rnacentral:misc_RNA from 1 species
AUCCUCAGCUACACCACCCAUAUCAGAAAGAUCAAUCUGUAUUUGCGGAGUUAUUUGUUUCUCAAACUGAAAUGUACUUGUAUUAGUCUCAACAUUGAUGUUUUCCUUGCCUCAAGAUUGCAUCAAUUGGAAGUGGUUUUCCUUUACCAAUAUAAUCAGUUACUCAAAUUUCUUGUCAACCUAAGUUUUCAAAUGUCCUUUCAACUUUUCAAUAUAUGGAAUUACAUAGUUAACUUUCUGAGAAUCUGCA